CCAACACCCCUGUACCAGCCUAACCCGAUUCGUCCGCCCGCGCACGUUAGCCGUUUUCUCUCUCCUCCUCUUUGUCCGCUGCAAUUAGUGAUGGGUUUUUGAAUCUGAUUGACGAGAGGGAUCCGCGGGGUGGAGGUGUGAAACCCUGGCCUACAAUUCUUGAGCCGGGGGGGAAUCGCUGGUGGGAGAUUGGAGAUGUAGUGGGAGGGAGGGAGAAUCUACUGAAGGAGUAAAGAUUGGAAGGACGAUGUCGUGGUUGUCGAGCCAGGAGAGGCACUCGAAACCGUAUCUACAGCUCUACUCGUCCUUCGGUUGGCGCUUUCUCAUCUGCCAUGCCGAUUUCCUCACUUUAAACUGUAAACUGCAUAAAGUGCAUGGAUGUUGAUCUGACUUUGGUACCAUAUUGUAUUUGGACCAGUACAGAUCUACUACUGACAGCAAAGUGUCCUUUGAUAACAUUGCUCCUUAUGAGCUUUUCCAUUUUGGUUCUGGCGCUGGCUUAGAGAAUUAGUCACCGCAAUCGGUCAGCAUUUUCAUAGAUAGAGAUUUGGCAGCCCUAACUUCUCCAAUUAGAACUGCACAUCUAGUAAGUGAAUAAAAUUUUCUCUUUUGAAUCUAUAUGCUUUUGAAUCUUAUACAAGUUCUCCAUCUUUGGUCAAUUUGUCUUAAAGUAGCCAACUUCAACUUGCAUAACUAUGACCAGAAAACAGCCAACAAAACUGAAAAGCUCGUGUUUUUGACAACAGGCUUUCUAUCUGUGGUCUCCAUCCCCUGUGUAAUAGACCGCAUUCAUGUUCACAUACAAUGUAGUAACUAUUAUGCAGAUCAAUUUGAGGAAAACGCAACAAGAAAUAGUAUCAUGCAGUCUUUUAUACUGUUAUUUCGUGCCAACCUACGAUGAUAUAGCCAUCUGACAUAAGGACACAGUUACAUAACGAUAUGAUCGCAUGCAUAAGAUGCAGUUACAUAUGAUUGCGUGCAUAGAACUCGUAGUGAAUAGUUUUUUUUUUUCCCCUUAUUUUACUGCUACUAUGCAGUAAUUUUCAUGCCCAUAUUUUUUUGGGCAAAGAUUAUGAGGUUUUCAAUCUCACCAUCAUCAAUGUAGCCAUUCCGAUUUGUGUCAGCUUGUCGGAGUCCACGACCACUCUUCCAGGUUGUAAACCAUCCUCCUCUGCUGCGGAUGGCCUCCCGAAGCUCAGCUUUGCUGAUGCGUCCAUCCUUGUUGGCGUCGAAAUUCUUCAGCCAUGUUUUGAAGUCCUCCAUGGAUAUUUCUCCAUUCAUUGACUGAGACUGUGCAAUAGGCAUGAUGAAUCUCUAAUGUCUGCAAACUUGAGUGGAAUGCAAUGCUUGCAACUCCGAUCAUUUAUAUAGACCUCUUCAAGGUCUUUACAACGUGAGCAACAUGGACUACUUGAUGGACACCUUUAUUCCAUGUUAUCUAGGAGUGUUUCUUGAGAUUCUCUUCAAAAUGUUUCUGGUUUCAGUCAGAUGUCCUAUGGUUGCUAUUGAAGAUUAACUUUGACAAAAGUGCCUCUGGAUCAUGAUGACUUGAUUUUUCCCCCCUUUAUUCUGUGCAGUUCAAAUAAUUGAAGGAAUCUUUUGUAUGCCUGCCUUAUUGGAUCUUUUUUUUAGCGCCUUGAUACCAAAUAAAGAUAAUGUGAUGUAUGUAGCCUUGUGGGUCAUCUUGGAUUCUCGUAGGUUAAAGGAGAGUCUACAAGCUCAAUUUCUGUUGGAUUGGCUUGUGACGAAAACUAGAAAAGCCUUAAAAUCUGUUCUUUUUUAUUUUAAUCAUUUUUUGGGGUCCCUUUCUACAAUCUUUGCUUAGCCUUCGAUUUCAUAGCAGAUGGAAAUAAAACAGAGUUUUUUUUUUUAAAUCACAAUAGAUAUGUGAAAAUGUUGGUGUUGUAGAUUUGAGUAAUUAGAGAUGUGUGUAACAGUCAACAUCUUAGAGAUGGAAAGUUCCUUAAAUCCUUUGAAGUUAAAGUAGGAGAAUGCAACCAAGGCUCCCACAAGUUUAGUCACUCGAAUCUUAUCAAUUCCUAACUCCUACAAGCUGAAUCUGAUUCUGGAUUGUGUUCAUGGGCAUAUUAAAAGGGUAGCAUAAACUUGAAAGCAGAUCUCAUAAGGAAUAUAAUCAAAUAGUGCCACAUUGUGAUCCACAUGGGAGAACAUUUAGGACCAAGAGACACGACUUUGAAUUCAAUAGACCAUAUUGCAAACUAACAAGGCAACUUUGAUGUGGGAUCCUUACAUACCAUGACAGCUUCAGUGUAUGCAAGUUCAGACCAUUAAUUUACCCCAAGAACUUGAAGACAAUGAUAAGAGGAUUUAUAAAAUGUUUUAUAAAGAGUUUGGGUAUUUUAUUUUAUAAUAAUAUAUUUAACAGCUUAGUAGCAGAAGCUCAUUCUUCUCUGUGACUGUCACUGGCCCAACCUUUUUGUCUUUUAAACUCUGCAUGAGCUUGAGAAUGUCUUUCCUCUCCUUAUUUGUCCAUAAACAUGGUUUGACAGGUCAUAAAAAUUUAAAAGUUUUGGAAUGUUGAACAUCUACUCUAAGCUGAUUAACCUGUGUAUGUAUUUCAAUGAAGAAUAAGAAGAGUUUACUCCUAAGCAAGAUAAGAUUUACAAGUUCAAUGCAUAAUACAUUCAAUCGGUCACUCUUAUGCCACUAUUGGGAGCAAUCUGUAGGUAAAAACAUUUGGUCUGCCUUGUUCUGUUCUAAACUAUAUAUCGUUGUGCUAACAGGUUGGAAAUCUCAUUGUAAUCUUGCAUUCUGGACUACUACGUCUGCCAAAAUUGUUUUAGAUGGAGCAUGACAUUAACAGGUUUCUAGAAAGCAUAUUGUGUCUCCUGCUUGCUAUGUAGGUUGAGCAAUUCUUGGAGAUGAGAACAAAAGCUGAAGAGGGAGAGAGAGAGAUAGAGAGAGGCAUCUCACUUUAUACUUGCAAGGGGACAUUGAUGGUCAGUGCCACCUACACUUUAUGCCCCCAGAAGAUGGAUGGUAGAUCUACCAGAGGCAUGUGUUUCACACAUGGCAGACCAGGAUUCAUUCAUACUCUCCCUCAUUCUUCAUAGUUACUUGAGAGUGAUAUCUUGAAGCUUGUCUCAUCAUGAUCUCUUAAUGCAUCUUCCUAGUUAAUUUUUUGAUCCUCGAAGCAUAAAAUGUCAUUCUAAAUCGGAAUUACUCUAUGACGUCUUAUGGCAGGUGUAAGCAAAUUUCUACGAGUAAUGAUACUGGUCAAACUUGAAGCUUGAUGAUGACACUCAACUAAGUUGUACUCACCUUCUCUUCCUGUCUUACGAUGGCUGCGAUACUCUCGGAAGCAGUGGCAAAUGAA